rnacentral:rRNA from 1 species
AUACGAAGGGGGCAAGCGUUGUUCGGAAUAACUGGGCGUAAAGCGCACGUAGGCGGAAUGUUAAGUUAGAGGUGAAAUCCCAGGGCUCAACCCCGGAACUGCCUUUAAUACUGGCAAUCUAGAGACCGAGAGAGGUGAGUGGAAUUCCGAGUGUAGAGGUGAAAUUCGUAGAUAUUCGGAGGAACACCAGUGGCGAAGGCGGCUCACUGGCUCGGUACUGACGCUGAGGUGCGAAAGCGUGGGGAGCAAACAGGAUUAGAAACCCGUGUAGUCC